GCGGGCGUAGUUCAAUGGUAGAACGGCAGCCUUCCAAGCUGCUCACGUGAGUUCGAUUCUCAUCGCCCGCUCCA
rnacentral:tRNA from 3 species